rnacentral:rRNA from 1 species
GACAGAGGGUGCGAACGUUGUUCGGAAUUACUGGGCGUAAAGCGCGUGUAGGCGGCUUGGCAAGUCGGGUGUGAAAGCCCUGGGCUCAACCUAGGAAGUGCACUCGAAACUGCCGAGCUGGAGUUCUGGAGAGGAAGGCGGAAUUCUCGGUGUAGAGGUGAAAUUCGUAGAUAUCGAGAGGAACACCGGUGGCGAAGGCGGUCUUCUGGACAGUGACUGACGCUGAGACGCGAAAGCGUGGGGAGCAAACAGG